GACGAACGCUGGCGGCGUGCUUAACACAUGCAAGUCGAAGAUAGUGGCGAACGGGUGAGUAAUGCCAAGGAAUCUGCCUGGUAGUGGGGGUUAACGUACGGAAACGGGCGCUAAUACCGCAUACUACCGGAUGGGCCUAGGUGGGAUUAGGUAGCUGGUGGGGUAAAGGCCUACCAAGGCGACGAUCCGUAACUGGUCUGAGAGGCUGAUCAGUCACACUGGAACUGAGACACGGUCCAGACUCCUACGGGAGGCAGCAGUGGGGAAUAUUGGACAAUGGGCGAAAGCCUGAUCCAGCCAUGCCGCGUGUGUGAAGAAGGUCUUCGGAUUGUAAAGCACUUUAAGUUGGGAGGCGUUACCAACAGAAUAAGCACCGGCUAACUUCGUGCCAGCCGCCGCGGUAAUAC
rnacentral:rRNA from 1 species